CCUGGCUCAGGAUGAAACGCUGACAGAACGCUUAACACAUGCAAGUUCAACUCGAAUUUGGGUUUUUAACUUAAGUUUGGGCGGCGGACGGGUGAGUAACGCGUAAAGAACUUGCCUCACAGUUAGGGACAACAUUUGGAAACGAAUGCUAAUACCUAAUAUUAUGAUAAUAGGGCAUCCUAUAAUUAUGAAAGCUAUAAGCGCUGUGAGAGAGCUUUGCGUCCCAUUAGCUAGUUGGAGAGGUAACGGCUCACCAAGGCGAUGAUGGGUAGCCGGCCUGAGAGGGUGAUCGGCCACAAGGGGACUGAGACACGGCCCUUACUCCUACGGGAGGCAGCAGUGGGGAAUAUUGGACAAUGGACCAAGAGUCUGAUCCAGCAAUUCUGUGUGCAUGAUGAAGUUUUUCGGAAUGUAAAGUGCUUUCAGUUGGGAAGAAAGAAAUGACGGUACCAACAGAAGAAGUGACGGCUAAAUACGUGCCAGCAGCCGCGGUAAUACGUAUGUCACGAGCGUUAUCCGGAUUUAUUGGGCGUAAAGCGCGUCUAGGUGGUUAUGUAAGUCUGAUGUGAAAAUGCAGGGCUCAACUCUGUAUUGCGUUGGAAACUGUAUAACUAGAGUACUGGAGAGGUAAGCGGAACUACAAGUGUAGAGGUGAAAUUCGUAGAUAUUUGUAGGAAUGCCGAUGGGGAAGCCAGCUUACUGGACAGAUACUGACGCUAAAGCGCGAAAGCGUGGGUAGCAAACAGGAUUAGAUACCCUGGUAGUCCACGCUGUAAACGAUGAUUACUAGGUGUUGGGGGUCGAACCUCAGCGCCCAAGCAAACGCGAUAAGUAAUCCGCCUGGGGAGUACGUACGCAAGUAUGAAACUCAAAGGAAAUUGACGGGGACCCGCACAAGCGGUGGAGCAUGUGGUUUAAUUCGACGCAACGCGAGGAACCUUACCAGCGUUUGACAUCUUAGGAAAGAGAUAGAGAUAUUUCAGUGUCCCUUCGGGGAAAACCUAAAGACAGGUGGUGCAUGGCUGUCGUCAGCUCGUGUCGUGAGAUGUUGGGUUAAGUCCCGCAACGAGCGCAAACCCCUUUCGUAUGUUACCAUCAUUAAGUUGGGGACUCAUGCGAUACUGCCUACGAUGAGUAGGAGGAAAGGUGGGGAUGACGUCAAGUUCAUCGUGCCCCUUAUACGCUGGGCUACGCGCGUGCUACGAAUGGGUAAACGGAGA
rnacentral:rRNA from 1 species